rnacentral:tRNA from 1 species
GCCCUAUUAGCUCAAUUGGAUAGAGCGACAGAUUUCUACUCUGUAGGUUGAGGGUUCGAUUCCUUCAUAGGGCGCUA